GCCUUCUUGGUGUAGUGGUCAGCACACUCGGCGCGUAUUCGAGAGGUACGUGGUUCGAGUCCCGGCGAGGGCA
rnacentral:tRNA from 1 species